ensembl:snRNA U4 U4 spliceosomal RNA
AGCUUUGCGCAGUGGCAGUAUCGUAGCCAAUGAGGUUUAUCCGAGGUGCGAUUAUUGCUAAUUGAAACAAAGAAAAGACCCUUCUUUAAUAAUUAUUUGUGGAGUUGGAACCAGC